ACGUGAACGGGACUUCAGCCAAUUCUUACACGGGAAGCCCAAAAAACCACCCCCUCGACCCGGUUUAACCCCUUCACGAUUCUGCCCCAAAAAAACACCCCCUUGAGCAGGUUUCACCCCUUCACGAUCCUGCCCCAAUGAAGCAUCAACUCAUCGCGGGAGAUCACUAGGGCUGCUCCUCCUCCUCUGUAGUUUCCCUUCCGGACUAAGAUUUCAUGGUGGGAUUCAUCUAAUAAAGAUCCAACCAGUAUCUCUCUGAUGCCCAUCCUCUCCGGCCAUUGAGUCGCCUCUGCCCAAAGGAAGUUACGAUAUCCAAGUGAUUGGAACCCUAAUAUCCUUUCUUUGCAACCUUGAAAUCUUUUAGCUUCCAAUUCCAAGUUCUGACUACGCUCCAAUCAAGCAUCUAUUUUUGAUCCCAUAUGAAUCUAUUCAAGAUGGAUAUUGGUUGAUGGGAGAGCAACCUUAUGAAUCAACUGAUGGUAAUUUGAAGCAAUUCAGAUGCCUGCCGCCUUGGGUGAUGCCCACUACAAUGGACCCAUGCUAUAGUUAUAUGGCUGGGGUGGACAAUCCUGAAAAGAUUAGGGAAGAUCCUAGGAGUGAAGUCGGUUCCUAUUGCUCAUCUUGGUGAAGCUUGAUUGGGUGUCUACUUGGAUAGAAAACAAGAUGAACUAACCACGUUAGGUACUAUUGAAUUCAGAUUAUGCCCACAAAAUUUUGCUUCGACUCUAGCCGGGAACUCAUGCAUACAUCCAUCCACUACUGCACUUUAUAGGCUCCCUGUACUCGGGCUCCGAUGAUAGCAAGUAGAGACUCACAACCAGACACAUGAAGACCACCAGCGAUUUGCCGCUAACCGGCUACCUCCUCUAUUAGAUGACAAAAGUAUGACUGCUUGAGAUCGAAACAUCCAUGCAAUCUGCACGUUGGAUCAAAGAAUAAAGAGAAAUUUGGGGGAAUAUCAAAUGUGAGUUCCCCGCAUCUACUCUUCUUUUAGUUACUUUGGUGUCUUCCUGGAAGUUGUAUGAUCUGAAUGUCUGAUGUUCUGUACGAGAGCAAAGCCAGAUAUGAUUUGGCUUUGUUGCAUGUCUCCAUUAGACUUAGUUGUUUCUCCCCCGAAUUGAUAGAUGACGACUCAGUUAAUAAUGCGGUAUCAAAUAAUUUGUGGCAGCUCUAGGUUUUGAAUGGUUUGAUUACUGGAGUUCUUAUUAUUUUCCUACUAGGCACGUAUGUUUAUCCUAUGCUUUUGUUUUUUUACCCCGUGCCUUGAACUGAUAAAGUACAGAGCCUGGUGAGCACCGAUCAACCAAGGAAACCACAAGAGAAAAAAUACAACAAGACUGUACUCCAUAGCAGGAAAGUUCAGUAAGAUAUAUACUAUCUCCAUGCUCAUGGUUUCUUGAGCAUAGUCUAUACUUUGUUAUUCUCUUUCCAACGAAGUUAGUUCUACAAG